GCUUAGUGGCGGACGGGUGAGUAACGCGUGAGCAACCUGCCUCUCAGAGGGGGAUAACGUUUUGAAAAGAACGCUAAUACCGCAUAACAUAUCGGAACCGCAUGAUUCUGAUAUCAAAGGAGCAAUCCGCUGAGAGAUGGGCUCGCGUCCGAUUAGUUAGUUGGUGAGGUAACGGCUCACCAAGACUACGAUCGGUAGCCGGACUGAGAGGUUGAUCGGCCACAUUGGGACUGAGACACGGCCCAGACUCC
rnacentral:rRNA from 1 species